rnacentral:rRNA from 1 species
CAGUCGCGCGGUAAUACGUAGGGUGCAAGCGUUAAUCGGAAUUACUGGGCGUAAAGCGUGCGCAGGCGGUUAUAUAAGACAGAUGUGAAAUCCCCGGGCUCAACCUGGGAACUGCAUUUGUGACUGUAUAGCUAGAGUACGGCAGAGGGGGAUGGAAUUCCGCGUGUAGCAGUGAAAUGCGUAGAUAUGCGGAGGAACACCGAUGGCGAAGGCAAUCCCCUGGGCCUGUACUGACGCUCAUGCACGAAAGCGUGGGGAGCAAACAGGAUUAGAUACCCCCGUAGUCCCUGUCUCUUAUACA